AAAGAAUAUAUAGUUGUAAUAUUUUAAACAUCUUUGUGUUUAUAUGCUUGCCAUUGAAAUUUUUUCAUUAUAAUUUGGCAAAGACUCAUAAAUAACUUUGUGAUAGUUGAUGGUAUUGCAGGUUAGAUGUUUGUUGUUUACGAAAAAGAAGAACAUGAUGGCAAAGACUCAACAAGAUGAAGAAAAAUAAUUUCGUAUCCAAAGUCGUCAUCAUAGAGAAAUAAUAGCAGGUUUUUAAUUUUUUUCUCAUGUUGAAAUUUUGAUUGUUUGAAUAUUUCUAAGUUUGCACUCAUAUUUUGUGGAUCUAUUUUUUUCUAUUUUUAUAAGACCAACAACAAGACUCUCUUACCACCAACAAGGCCAACAACAAACUGGGUAGAGAUUGGUGGAAUUUGGAUAUGCUUUGUGUAUUGAAUGAGUGGAUUCUUCGUUUUCUUUGUGUUGCCAUAUAUAUUAUGAUCAUAAAUGAUUUUCAAUAAUUAUUAUAAGGCCGACUUGAAUUUUGUUUACCAUAAACACAAAUUUAUUAAUUAUACAUAUAAUAAUAAUUAUUAAUUAUUACUUCUUACAUACAAAUUUUAAUAUUUUUUUUUAUAAAAAU
rnacentral:lncRNA from 1 species